GGUUCAAUCACGACAACUCCUGUUCCUGGGAUGUUUCUUAACAUGUUCCCUUUAACGUCAGGGCAGUUGCCUCUUGGAACUCUUCCUAUCAUGCCUGUUCAAGCAAUGACUCAGCAGGCAACUAGACAUGCUCGAUGGGUUUAUGUUGGAGGAUUACCCCCAGAGCUAAUGAGCAG